ensembl:lncRNA
GACGAGGCAGGGAGGAAUUACUCGGGCUGCUGCGGAGACCAAGCUGACAUUACACCGAAGUGACACAUGAGGGCGCUCUUACCAACCAGUAGAUUUCUUGUAGCUCUGGAUAUUGGGAUGACCGGUGGAAACAUCAGUUUCAUUCACCACAUUAACAAAAAUCUAGUCUCUUGUUAAUGACGAUGUGGUGUUUACCUCUCUCGGGCUUCCCUGGCUCAACGUGUGUUCCAAAUAAACUCGCACUGCCUGGCUGUUUAUCGACUCCACACUGGGGAGUCUGGGAAUUGUCCUGUCCUGGUCAGCCACCUCCUGGUCACAUCCCUUCUGGCCCCUCCGGAGGGUGACUCGGAAAGGCACGACAUCAUGCAUCUGGCACUGCACCUCCUGAAGUGGCUGCCUAAUGCCAGCCUCCCAUGGGGUCCUGGAGAGGACGGAAGGACACUUUACUACGUGGAGCCCCCACAGAAGCCACAGUGUUUUGGCAGCCACCCUAGUCACUAGGACUGACGUUUAACACUUGGCUUUGUGACGCCACAGGCUGUCUUCCCUGGGUUUUAUCUCUGUCCCGUUCUUGGGGUUAUCCAUACUUGAGACUGGUUCCUAACAACAAAUUAGACCUCGUCUUUGGAGGGGUGCAGCCGGCGGAGGGGGACUGACUGGCUUCCACACAUGCCUCCUUGAGCCCUCAGACACUCAUGGGUCCACUGGCCAGAGAUGGAGAAAUUGUAACUCAGAUACUCCAAUUCGACUCAAUUCAACAAACACUGAGCACCUAUGAUGUGGACACAGCAAGAAGUUGGCAGUCUGCAACCCGGAAGAGGACUCUCACCAGAACCCGACGAUGCCGGCACGGUGAUCUUGGACUUCCAGCCUCCAGAACCGACCACAAGAUCUGGUUACAUUCUGGGAGAAAGGAUAUUUCCAUCUAUAUUUAGAGGGUGGGAAAAAAUACCUACUGACAGAGAAAAAUCAUCAAUGAAAUAUUUCAAGAAAAUUUCCCAGAGCUGAAGGAAAAGUUUCCACAUCAAAAGGGACCACUCCAGCACAGUGCAUGGAAAGAGACCCACAGCAAGGCAAGUCAUUGUGAAAUUUCAAAACACUGGGGACACACACAACAAAAAUAUUAAAAAGAAAAGUCCUCUUGCGUACAAAGGAAGCAGAAAUCAAAAGGGUUUCAUAUUUCUCAACAGCAACAUUUUUUUAAGGCAAUGGAGCAAUAUUUUCAAAACUCUAGAGGAAAAUAUCUCCAACCUAGAAUUCUGUAUUCAGCCAGACAAUCAAUCAACUGCAAGGGUUGAAAAAAGACUUUUCCAGAUAUUCAAGAGUCAGAAAAUGUACCUUGAAUGCACUUUCUCUAAGGAAGCUACUGGGGGAUGUGCUCCACCAAAAUAUGGGGGUGACACUAACCCAGGAGAGGGGUGGAGGGAUCUCCCACUGAUGCGUGUGCUCGGGCCUUCUGGGGAGUCAUCCAGACAGGAGCAGGGCUGAAGGACGGACUUCCCAGGAAGACAAAAUUGCUGGUGCUCUAGCACAUUGUGGGGACAUCUGGCCACCCUGAGUGGAGAGGGCUCUCGGGGACGUGCGAGCCGAGCUGAGGAAGAGGCCGAGGGGCUGCAGGCAACACCAAACACGACGUUCUCUGCUCUUUAGAAGACCUCACAGACUCCUUGAAACCCAUCCAGGGACCACAAGUUAAGAACAACAAACACUAGCGAAAACUCUUUCUCCCAUGGAAAAAGCACCACAAAUCAUUUGAAUCGAGUCCUUGCAAGAAAAAAACAUGAAAAAGAUGUUUGGUAAUCUUGAUUUUAAUUAAAAAAUUAAACUUUAUAUUAAAAAGUUAAUCUUGUUAAAAAGUUC